rnacentral:rRNA from 1 species
GACGAACGCUGGCGGCGCGCUUCACACAUGCAAGUCGAGCGAUCGACUCCGGGUCUUCGGACCUGGAGCACGGAGCGGCGAACGGGUGAGUAACACGUGGGUAACCUGCCCUCGGCACUGGGAUAACUCCGGGAAACCGGUGCUAAUACCGGAUAGCCUCCGAAGCCUGCGGGCGUCGGAGAAAAGGUAGCUUCGGCCUCUGGCCGAGGAGGGGCCCGCGGCCGAUUAGCUUGUUGGUGAGGUAAAGGCUCACCAAGGCGACGAUCGGUAGCUGGUGUGAGAGCAUGACCAGCCACACUGGGACUGAGACACGACCCAGACUCCUACGGGAGGCAGCAGUGGGGAAUAUUGCACAAUGGGCGCAAGCCUGAUGCAGCGACGCCGCGUGAGGGAUGACGGCCUUCGGGUUGUAAACCUCUUUCAGCACCGACGAAGCGCAAGUGACGGUAGGUGCAGAAGAAGGACCGGCCAACUACGUGCCAGCAGCCGCCGUAAGAC